rnacentral:lncRNA from 10 species
UAUUUCUGCCUGUCACUUAUUAUCUGGUUGAGCUGGUGGCGGGAGUCCCGGCCCAUGUGUGUUACCAGAGGGAUGGUCUAGAGAAUGAAUCCAUCUGUCAGAGGCAUCCAAGAAGAAAGGCCUGGGCCAGGAUCACAUGGAAGACCCUGAAGACAGGAUCGGGUCUUGCCUGCCUGGAUUGAACAGAGACGCAGUGACCAGUCCCAUCUGCUCCCACCCUGCUGCCCUCUGAAUCGAGAGUUUGAGGCCAUGACCAGGGUAACGUUCAGCUGGUAGAGACAACACAACCCUGCUGGCUGUUUAAGCCAUGCUGGAGUGGUGCUCACAGGGUAACAAUUCUGAGUGAUGAACAGAAGCAGCACUUGAGCCAGACUCUGACCAAGAACUGCGGGCAGGCUAGAGCCACACAGAUCCCCGCCUCAGUAGACCGGCUGCAGCAGGAGGUACACCAUGCCCUAUGGCCUUGAAGGCCAAGCAGACACAGGUUCAAAUCCUGACUCUCUUCUUUCCUGUCUGUGUGGCCCUGGCAAGUUACUUACCCUCUCUGAGCCUCGGUUGCCACAUCCCUAAAAUGAAGCCUCUUUAGGGUAUGUGAGCAUUAAAUUCGGUCACACCUGUAAAGUCCCUACCACCGUGAGAAGUGCCUGCUGAAGCCUGGUUCCUCUCCCUCCCUCUCCUUGACUCCCUCCUCCAAACCCACCCCUGCUGUCUUCCCGUUCUGGGUCCUGGUGGGCAGGAAGCUGGCAGUACCAGGAGAACUCCAUCUCCUGCCAGGAUCUGGGCCAGGAAGCCUCUCUCCGGGUUUCUCCUGUCUGUAAGCACUCAGGAGCCCCAGAUGGUGAGUGAACGCGGAGCUGGGCAGCACAGAUGCAGGACGCUGCCUCCAUCGCAGAAAGUUCUCCUGGACGCCACUGUUCCAGAUCCUGAUGGUUCAAGUGCUACGGAUGCAAUAGCUCAGCGACUGGCAGCGCAGCACGUACCUGCUGUCGUGGGAGGUGAGAGCCACCAGUGCCCGACAGCGGCUGCAAGGCAGUGGUGGCGCUCUGCAGCCAGCCGGCCCACCCCUCCAACAUCUGCAAGGGGGUGGGAGGCUGCCUCACCAAGCUACCUGCUACUCAUGGGGGCGAUGGGCAUCAGGGUGGCCUGCCUGGAGGUGAGUUGCAGUUGGGAGAUUAGGAGGAAGGUAUGUUGCAGUUGGGAGAUUAGGAGGAAAUACUCACUCGGGAUAUUAAACUAGGCUCUGAACCCGUCUCCAGCGGCAGAUAUCUCCAGUAACUGGGCUGGCAUGUCCGUGCCCUGCGCUGCUCUCUUCUCUCAGCUUCCCUUUGCAACCAAGGCUGAUUCCCACAGUCAGUCUCUCCCCCAGAGAACAUGAAGGAAGAUGCCUGAGGGACAACAUUAACUUGUCAGGAACAGGGGCCUGGGAGGAGUGUGGAUGUGGGCUCAGGUACGGGCAUGCACCUUGAGUGUGUGCAUGUGGGGGUCAGUGUGCAAGCCUGCCGUGGUGUGUGUGGGUCCGUGGGGGUCCCCAUGUUCCCGGGUCUAUGUGGGUGGGGUGGUAUGCACUGUGUGUGUUUAGGGUGCUUGUGCAUGUGUGAGUGUGUACAUAUCUGCAUUCAUUCCUGUGUGUGUCUGCGUCUGUGUCUGUGUGUGUGUGUCUGUGUCUGUGGGUGUGUGUGUGUGUGUGUGUGGGUGUGUGUGUGUGUGUGUACCAUCAGCCCUCCAUAUCCACAGGUUCUGUAUCCUUGGAUUCAACCAACCAUGGAAUAAAAGUACUAACAAAAAGGAUGGUUAUGUCUGCACUGAACAUCCUUGUCAUUACCCCCUAAACAAUACAGCGUGACAACGAUUUACAUAGCAUGUGGAUUGUAUUAGGAAUUACAAGUAAUCUAGAGAUGAUUUAAAGAAUGUGGGAGGAUGUGCAGACGUCACAUGCAAAUACUGCACCAUUUUAUAUCAGGGACUUGAGCAUCAGUGGAUUUUGGAAUCCAGAACAACUGUAUAUAAGUGCGCGUGUGCGUGU